rnacentral:rRNA from 1 species
UACGAAGGGGGCUAGCGUUGCUCGGAAUCACUGGGCGUAAAGGGUGCGUAGGCGGGUCUUUAAGUCAGGGGUGAAAUCCUGGAGCUCAACUCCAGAACUGCCUUUGAUACUGAGGAUCUUGAGUUCGGGAGAGGUGAGUGGAACUGCGAGUGUAGAGGUGAAAUUCGUAGAUAUUCGCAAGAACACCAGUGGCGAAGGCGGCUCACUGGCCCGAUACUGACGCUGAGGCACGAAAAGCGUGGGGAGCAAACGGG